rnacentral:lncRNA from 1 species
UUGUUUUUAUCGCUUGAUUGAUUAGUCUUCCAUAUUUUAAAUCAUCGAUAGAUUGACAUUUCGAUAUAUUUAACCUUCUUUGAUUCAAACAUGUUGAUAAGUGAUUGUUGGAUUAUUUUUGACACUUUGAAUCAUUGAUAGGUUGUCCCUAGAUGCGCCAUAUUUUGAGUCAUUUGAUUUGUGGAUAGAUAAUCCUAAGUAAUCAUUCCUUUCCUUGCAAAUUGACUCCUAACAUCUAACUUCUAACAUUUAGAUUACGUGAUGCUAACUUCUAACAUUUAAAUUUUUGCAAUUUAUUUAUGUACUUUAUGUAUUAUAAUCAUUACCAUUCUUC